rnacentral:rRNA from 1 species
CAGCAGCCGCGGUAAUACGUAGGGUCCAAGCGUUAAUCGGAAUUACUGGGCGUAAAGCGUGCGCAGGCGGUUGUGCAAGACCGAUGUGAAAUCCCCGAGCUUAACUUGGGAAUUGCAUUGGUGACUGCACGGCUAGAGUGUGUCAGAGGGGGGUAGAAUUCCACGUGUAGCAGUGAAAUGCGUAGAGAUGUGGAGGAAUACCGAUGGCGAAGGCAGCCCCCUGGGAUAACACUGACGCUCAUGCACGAAAGCGUGGGGAGCAAACAGGAUUAGAUACCCUGGUAGUCCACGCCCUAAACGAUGUCAACUAGUUGUUGGGGAUUCAUUUCCUUAGUAACGUAGCUAACGCGUGAAGUUGACCGCCUGGGGAGU